UACGAAGGGGGCUAGCGUUGCUCGGAAUCACUGGGCGUAAAGCGCACGUAGGCGGAUUGUUAAGUCAGGGGUGAAAUCCUGGAGCUCAACUCCAGAACUGCCUUUGAUACUGAGGAUCUUGAGUUCGGGAGAGGUGAGUGGAACUGCGAGUGUAGAGGUGAAAUUCGUAGAUAUUCGCAAGAACACCAGUGGCGAAGGCGGCUCACUGGCCCGAUACUGACGCUGAGGCACGAAGGCCAGGGGAGCAAACGGG
rnacentral:rRNA from 1 species